CUACUCUGCUGUUCCUCUGUCUUCCAGACUCUGGGUGGGUGGAGCAGGUGGGGGGCCA
rnacentral:miRNA from 1 species